AAUAAAACGUGCUUUCACUGUGGAGAAUAAUGAGCACUUUAUUUUUGUCAUAUUAAACUUUUGUCAUUAAUGAAGUUGCAAUUUGAUCAGAUUUCUAAGAAUUUAUUUUAUUGUAUUUAUUUUUUAGAAUUUGUGAUUCCUGACUCUUUGUCAUAAGAUCCUGGUCAUCUUAGACCGGCAGAUCCAGCUUUGAUCGAGAAAACAGUCUCCACUUUCACUGACAACCUAAACUUGAUUGGAAAUGCAACAGGAUCCGGGCGGCAGGUGGCACGACACGACUCCUUCCCAGCCAGAGGACAGGUCUUUUUGUGAUGCGUUCAAGUACAUCGAGGUGAAGCCACCUGUUGCAGCCAACAACCCCCACCACCUACGACGUCACCUGCUCCUGCUAUCCCCUCAUAGGAAAUAAGCGACAGGUGGUAAACUCACAAUGUCAAAUUUUUGUCUGAAACACUAUAAGAUGUAUUUAAAUGUGCACAGGUGUGAAUCGAUAGUCUUCCAAAGAUAUUUUCCAAAUUCCAAAGUCUGCUGUUAAUAGGUUCCAAAUUGACCCUGGUCCUCCAAUUAGACUCCACAACAUUAUCAGGUAUUUUAACGACAAUAUUAUAUCGCCAAGUCCAAAAAUUCAUAUAGUUGGCUUCCAUCAGAAAACAACAAUAUCUAUAUCUAUAUAUAUUAUGUAUUGUCAUAUUCCAAGUGUAAUGGAUUGGUUGCAAAUUGGCUGAAAGCCACAUAAAUAUUAUCAGGUAUUUUUGCGCCAACAUCACAAUACAGUGGCAAUAUCUGACAACAAAAAUCACUAUGAUUUCAAAUGUAUCCAGGAGCAAUAACAACAUCUACAGCUGAUCCUUAUGUAUCGAUGCUGUGUGAAUACGAUAGAUGGCGAUAUCGAUAUUUUGUCAGUCCCUAAAUCAAACAGAAUCGUUCCCAAUUGAGCGUGGUCCGCCACUAAAAACAGCCAGACCGCCAUUAAACAGGUGUUACUUUUAGAAACGGCCCUCCAUAUAUAAACACGUAACUUUAAACCUCGCGUUAUCAGUCAGCUUAUCAGCUUCCGAAACCACAAAAGAGAGAGGGGCAGGCGGGUUGAGGAGCUAGCGACGCUGCGAUCUCGCUUUUGCCACCCAUUAAGACAAAAGGGAAAGUAAUGACUUAGCUAUUAUUAGAGGCACGGAGAACCCCUGCUUAAAAAAUAACAAUAACACUUCGCUCCGGCGUGGCUCUUGUAGUUUAUUGAGAAAUUGUGAUCACAUAUCUUCCCGAUACAGGCAUUGUGAGUGGGGAGGGGGGGCGAGACACCUGCUCCAGCUGACCAGCUAGCAUGGGUGGGGGGGGGGGGGAUUGCACCCGGAGCUAGCACCUGACUAGCGAGGUUUAUUCCAAGAUUUCUGUCUAAAAAUCAACGUGGCCUCAAAGCGUAUUCGGAGCGAUCGCCGGUCGGCACACGAUCUCCACGCCGCGGAUGAGCAAAUAAACCAGCCGAUCGAGGCGGCGUUAGCGCUGAAAGCUAACACGUUACAAAGAAGCACCAUCGCUAGCAAAAACUGCUACCAGCCAGCCGAGCGAGCGAGCGAGCGAGCGAGCGAACCUCCGCUGGACAAAAAAAAAAAAAAAAAAGAGAAAAAAAACAACUCCCAAACACCGCGAUCGCGUCUCAAAGACUAAAGAAGAAGCGUUUGAAUGUGAAGGAAACCAACAAAUGGGAGAAGGGCAAAAAUAAAAGGUUGUUUCCAAACCUGCUUGUGGAGCGGCGGGUGAGUAUGAGGAUGGUGGAGGAGGUGGUAAUGAUGAAGCGAGAGCUUGUUGUUGGUGGGUUACAGUCGCCACGACUACCGUGGCUAUGGCGCUGCCUCACCGGGCAACAGUUGCUAGAAAACUCCCAGCCAACUGGGAGGAGAUAAGCUCGCUCACACUUGGCGGAAAUAAUAAUAAUAAUGAUUAUAAUACUACACGCCUUUUUUGUUCAUUGGAUAAUACAUACAUACGUGGGCAGUGCUUUAAUAUGUCGCGCAAACUCCAGCAAAUGGUGGUUAAGAUCAGAUUGGUUUUUAAUGGCAUUAAAUCAGCCACAAACAGCAACGAUCAUUUUUCUAAAACGCAUAUUUUUAAAAUAAGCAAAGGUGGGGAAGAAGUAAUUGAACCUCGUAUCCCCCCCAUCGCUCUUUUAUCAAAAAGAAAUGACAAUUACAUCAUUCCAAACUUGGAGAAGGUGCCGCAUCUAACGAUUAUUUGAAUAAUUUAGCUCUGAAGUUGUGUCUCACAACAUGAAAAUAACAUUUUUAGCUGAGUGAAAGAGAAAAAAGUGAGUUACGACUCAGCAGAAAUGACAUCACCUAGCUAAUGAAAUUAUGUUUAUUACACGUUUUACUUGAAAACUUGAGGGGGGAAAUGUAUUAAAUGGUCUAUUUUGGUUUAUUUUUCUAUUUGUUGGAGCCAAAACUGUCCAAAUCUGGCCUUUAUGUACCAAAAGUUGAGUUUGUGUAAUGCUAAUUAGCCUACUGAUGAUGCAACUUGCCAUUAUACCACAUGAUGGCCAGUAAUAUUUUAAUAAUAUUUAAUAAUAAUAGUUUUUAUAUGAAUCAUAAAGUCAUAAAACAAACCAAAGCAAAUGCUUUUUGGAGAAAAAAAAGAUGUUGUUGCUAAGCAACAAGCCAAACUCCUGCCUGUAUUAGGACUUUCUUGCUGGAAGUAUUGUUCUCAAGUAAAACAGUUUGUCCUUUCGAUUUCUAGAAGAAGAAAUAAACAAGCGGAAAAAAAAGUGAGACGAGGGAUGCCUGCGGUACUGCUUGGCCUCAGCAAUGCCUUGUGCAGUGCAAAGAAAGGAAUGCCACAGGAGAGUGGUGUCAUUCCUCAGCGGGGUUGCGGCACACUUGACCGGCGAGGGGAUCCAUCACGUCAAAGAAGUCGCCUCCUGACAUUUGCACGGUAAACCCUGCGGUCAUCACCUGCGUUGCAGGUUCCGUUGAUCCCGAAGGCCGGCAUGAGUUGACCGGACUCGGCCCGUGCUGACAUCCCAUCGUAGGGAAAAAGCGCCUCCAUCUGCCCUGGGAGAUCUUCGGGUACACAGAAAUUGAAACACUUGCCCACCUGUCUCACUUCAUUGCCAUCGUUAAGGUACGUGACGAUAAUCUGCUCAAAACAGAUUGUCAAACCGCCGCCCACACGUUUGCUAAUAAGCUCUUCGCAUGCCAAA